UUUCCGUAGGUGAACCUGCGGAAGGAUCAUUCAAAAUUGGAACGGUGAAAACCGUGUUCAAAAUUUUCGUGCACUUUUUGAAACUAUUUUUUUUGUGUAACCAACCCAAUAUUAAAAACCAUUACCAAAUUUUAAAACUCGUGACGGUGGAUGUCUUGGCUCCAGCAACGAUGAAGAACGCAGCGAAAUGCGAUACGUAGUGCGAAUUGCAGAACCCGUGAAUCAUCGAAUUUUUGAACGCAAGUUGCGCUCGCGGGCAAUCCUGCGAGCAUGUCUGUUUGAGUGUCCGUUAAUGAAAGAUUUGUUCCCUUUGAACGGUUUUGCUGGUGUAGGAAACUGUUUGGGGAGCUGCUGAUGGGUGCACUGAAAAGUGUUUUAUUCCGGGAUCCGCCGAGAGGUGGGUCGUGGUCACCCGAAGAGGAGGGCGCUGGUUGGAUGUUCAGACUUUUGGUUUUUGGUUUUGAAUCGAGGAUCUCGGAGUUGUGGAGUUUUGGGCCGUAUGGACCCAAUGCUCGGAAUUUCUCAGGCGUUGUGAAGUAAUUUUGAAAGAAUUUACCGGAAGCGGGGCUUGGCGAACAUUUCGAGACUGGUAUCAGGGAAGCAACUGAAAAUCCGACGAAUGAUUGAUUUUGACCGAAGGCUAUUUCGGAAGUUUGGCGUUUGACUGGCACUAAAAUUUUAACACACAAACUUUUUGGAUCUCAAAUCAGACAAGACGACCCGCUGAAUUUAAG
rnacentral:rRNA from 1 species